rnacentral:rRNA from 1 species
AUGAACGCUGGCGGCGUGCCUAAUCCCUGCAAGUCGCGCGAACAGACGAGGAGCUUGCUCCUCUGACGUUAGCGGCGGACGGGUGAGUAACACGUGGAUAACCUACCUAUAAGACUGGGAUAACUUCGGGAAACCGGAGCUAAUACCGGAUAAUAUAUUGAACCGCAUGGUUCAAUAGUGAAAGACGGUUUUGCUGUCACUUAUAGAUGGAUCCGCGCCGCAUUAGCUAGUUGGUAAGGUAACGGCUUACCAAGGCAACGAUGCGUAGCCGACCUGAGAGGGGGAUCGGCCACACUGGAACGGAGACACGGUCCAGACUCCUACGGGAGGCAGCAGUAGGGAAUCUGCCGCAAUGGGCGAAAGCCUGACGGAGCAACGCCGCGUGAGUGAUGAAGGUCUUCGGAUCGUAAAACUCUGUUAUUAGGGAAGAACAAAUGUGUAAGUAACUAUGCACGUCUUGACGGUACCUAAUCAGAAGGCCACGGCUAACUACG